GAUGAACGCUGGCGGCGUGCUUAACACAUGCAAGUCGAGCGAAGCACUAAGUCUGAUUCUUCGGAUGAAGACUUUUGUGACUGAGCGGCGGCCGGGUGAGUAACGCGUGGGUAACCUGCCUCAUACAGGGGGAUAACAGCUAGAAAUGACUGCUAAUACCGCAUAAGACCACGGUACCGCAUGGUACAGUGGUAAAAACUCCGGUGGUAUGAGAGGGACCCGCGCCUGAUUAGGUAGUUGGUGGGGUAACGGCCUACCAAGCCGACGAUCAGUAGCCCACCUGAGAGGGUGACCGGCCACGUUGGGACUGAGACACGGCCCAGACUCCUACGGGAGGCAGCAGUGGGGAAUAUUGCACAAUGGAGGAAACUCUGAUGCAGCGACGCCGCGUGAAGGAUGAAGUAUUUCGGUAUGUAAACUUCUAUCAGCAGGGAAGAAAAUGACGGUACCUGACUAAGAAGCCCCGGCUAACUACGUGCCAGCCGCCGCUGUAA
rnacentral:rRNA from 1 species